GGAAGUCAUCCGGCUGGAUGAGGAAACUGUCUUGAAAACAGCUGACGGCAUGUCCGUUUGUGGGUUCGAGUCCCACGGCUUCCGCC
rnacentral:tRNA from 1 species